rnacentral:rRNA from 1 species
GUGGGGAAUUUUGGACAAUGGGGGCAACCCUGAUCCAGCCAUUCCGCGUGAGUGAAGAAGGCCUUCGGGUUGUAAAGCUCUUUCGCAAGGGAAGAAAACUUAUGAUCGAAUAAAUCAUGAGGUUGACGGUACCUUGAUAAGAAGCACCGGCUAACUACGUGCCAGCAGCCGCGGUAAUACGUAGGGUGCGAGCGUUAAUCGGAAUUACUGGGCGUAAAGCGUGCGCAGGCGGUUUUGUAAGUCGGAUGUGAAAUCCCCGGGCUCAACCUGGGAACUGCGUUCGAAACUGCAAGGCUAGAGUGUGUCAGAGGGGGGUAGAAUUCCACGUGUAGCAGUGAAAUGCGUAGAGAUGUGGAGGAAUACCAAUGGCGAAGGCAGCCCCCUGGGAUAACACUGACGCUCAUGCACGAAAGCGUGGGGAGCAAACAGGAU